rnacentral:rRNA from 1 species
UACGUAGGGUGCAAGCGUUGUCCGGAAUCACUGGGCGUAAAGGGCGCGUAGGCGGCGUUUUUAAGUCGGGGGUGAAAGCCUGUGGCUCAACCACAGAAUGGCCUCGAUACUGGGACGCUUGAGUAUGGUAGAGGUUGGUGGAACUGCGAGUGUAGAGGUGAAAUUCGUAGAUAUUCGCAAGAACACCGGUGGCGAAGGCGGCCAACUGGACCAUUACUGACGCUGAGGCGCGAAAGCGUGGGGAGCAAACAGG